GUUUAUUCUUGAGGUGAAGGAAUCAUGAGAAGAUGAUGGAUCUGUUGAGAUCCCCGGUGAUUCAUGGUGGUGCUGUUAAAUCAAAUGUUCAUUCAACUCAGCAGAAAUGGAGGGGAACCACUUGUUCUGAAUGUAGUGAGGAAAGCAGAACAAUUGCUUGUGAAUGUGGUGUUAGAGUAAUUCACUAUCUCUGGUGAAACUAACUUUCUCAAGUAGUAAGAAGGAAGGAUGAUUUUACAGCUUUAUGGGAUAAACUGAAUUGUGCACAUCAAGUUUCAAUGUCCUGUUAUUGGUAAACUUUUUGCUGCUGAAGAAAGCUCUGUUCAGAUUGGUCUUAAGAAGUAUGACCCUCAAAAGGACAAGCGUUUCAGUGGUUCAGUGUAGUUACCACAUAUUCCCCGCCUGAAGAUGAAAUUUUGCAAGAUUGGAUAUGACAAAGGUAUACAUGCUUGAUACACAAGAGGCACUGGAGUCGAUAUUCAAAAAAUGGGAAAAGACUGCUCCUUUUGCUUGGGAUGCGCGCGACAUGGGAUUUUGAUGGUCAUAUGAUAUUACUUGCUUUCUCAGAAUAAGUAGAAUUGGGCUCUAUGCACUUCGUGUCGAGGCUUCUGACAUUGGGGUGCCAAGACUAAGGAAGAGGAAUUCAACACAGGAUCCCCUUCUGUUCUUAUGAUGAGUGUCAAAAAUAACACUCAGGCACUUAAAGAAGAAAUGCUCUUGUCUGGUCUUAAUGAAUUUGUAUCCACUCUCAUGGUAUGCUUAGUUACAUGUUUCUUUUGACAACCAUUCUUGCAGUUGAGGGCUAACAAAGAUAACCUAUCCACUCUCAUGGUAUGCUUAGUUACAAAAUAUGUUCAUGAUAUUUGUGAUACAGAGAAUUUGUAUUCCCUUAGGACAUAGGAAUGAACUUGUAAUGAUUUAAGUGAGAAUGAACUCAACUUGUGAAGUUUUUAUCUUUAUC